AUUUCAUAGGUAACCUUUUUCCAAAGUCUAAAACAAUAUUAUAUAUAUAUAUAUAUAUAUAUAUAUAUAUAUAUAUAUAUAUAUAUGCACUUAUUUAUAUCUAUACUAUUUAUAAAAAAACAGUUUUAAAAUUAGUUUUCUUUUUCAAAAUACGGAUCUCUAUUAAUAUAAUUCUAAUAACAUACUAGCAAUAUCAUUUAUUCAACUUUAAGGUAUUUAUAAUGUACCAUUUGGUUGGGAGAUAAAUAUAGANGAAUAAAAGAGUUUAUACCUUUUCUUCUACCAAAUGAGAUAAAAUAAUAACUAUUCCUCUUUUAACAGGUUAUUUUAGAAUAACGCGUUAAGAGAGAAGAACUAUUAUUUUACAAGAUAAAAAAUGACUAUUCCUUAUUCCUCUCUUAACGGGUUAUUCUAGAAUAAUGCGUUAAGAAAGGAGAACUACUAUUUUUCCCUCCCUAUGGAAUAGCUACUCUUGUUCUUUAUUUUCCACUUUAAAUAAUAAUUUAUUUAUUAAACUAUGAUGAUAAUUAUUAUAUUAUAUUCUUGACAAAUCAAUCCUUAAAAUAUUUUUUUCUAUUAAUUAGUUUCUAAUAAUUAUAAAAUAUUGCUAACUAAUAACUAAUUAACUUAUUUAAUUAUUUACUAACCAUUUGAAUUAUUAGAUUAAUGUAUAUUUAAUUAAAUACUUGAAGAAAUAAUUGAUUAUUUAUGAUCAAUCACUAAUCAAAUGAUAAAUUAAUUAAUAUGUUUAUUCAAAUAAUAACUAAUAUUUAUAAUAAUUAACUAAUUAAUAUUUUAACUUAUCAACUUAAUUUAUUAACUAAAUGUAAAAGUAAGUAAUUAGCUAAUGCAUUUAAUUUAUUUUUAAAUAACUAAGUAACUAAUCAACAUGAUUCUUCAUCAUCUUAUUAAACUAGUGAAAACCCGCGCUUCGCGGCGGUUAAUUAGAUUAGCAUAAAUUUAAGCAGAAAGUAAUAUAACAUAUAUUAUAUAUAAAUAUAAAUCCACAUAUAAUCCUUCACAUAAUAGGGUGCCUCAAACAUUCAGCAUGAAAUAAUAUAAAAUAUAUUGCAAAUUCAGCAUGGGGCAUCAGACUCGUAUGGUUAUCGGAUAUUACCUAGCCCACAACCAAGGCCGCCGGAUUAGAACUGCUCACUGAGUUAGAACCCACAUGAAUACCAAAAAUAAUCUCGAAGUAACAAAUCGAAGUCGAAACAUAAAGCACACAGUAUUAUACGAACCAACGUGGCAUUCAUUAAGAGCGAGUAGUUAAGUAAGAAGGAAAGUAUAUCCAUUAUGGUAUAAUUAACAGUUGAGGACGGAAGAAACACAACUAAGUGGAGACAAAAUUUUAAAAAAGUACACAGCAUUGUAACUGAUACUGCAAAGCCAUUCACCAAAUGCCUUGUGAGUACAACACAUGGCAUCAAAAGGUAGCGCCAGCAUUUAAGAAGCUUCAAUAAUUAAGCCAACGGAUUCGACAGAGCAUCAGAUUCAUUAGCUGCAGUAGCAAAUGGAACAACAUUCACGGCGGUUAAUUAGAUUAGCAUAAAUUUAAGCAGAAAGUAAUAUAACAUAUAUUAUAUUCUUUUGGAAGUUGAACUAUUGCGUACUGUGCAAACAACACUGCAUACUCCAUAGUAACAUAAUCAUAAAAACUCUUGAAGAAGAUAUUGGCGCCACAAUUAACAUCUUUGAUAUGCAAAUCACAUCCAUCUGUGAGUCUCUUAAUCGCAAUAUGGGCAGCAUCUUGCUCAGCCCCGAGAGACAUAAGGGAUUGAGCACCCUAGCACCGGAUAGCUGCAUAGUUGACAUCGUAACAACUGCAAGAAGAAGGAAGCAAAAUUUUGCUAUGGAAAAGUUUCCACAACCACUCUAUAAUUCACAAAUGAGAAGUUGAAAGGAGAGCAGCAGCAGCAGUAAGCUUGUGCUGCUGCUGUGCAUGCAGCUACUGCUGCUGAUUGUAGAGCAGCUGCUGCUGACUGCACAGUUGCGGCAGCAGAAGCUGCAGCUGCAGGGGGCAGUGAAAAACAAAGAAAGAAAGAGAGAAAGAGAGAGAAAGAAAAAGAGAAAGAGGGAGAGAAAGGAAAAUUUCUGCAACUUAUAAAGAGGAAGAGAAAAGAGGAAAGUCACCUAUUAACUAUUAUAAUAGCAAGAAAGUGUAGCAGACAAUGUAAACUGAAACGACAACAGAGAGUUCUUUGGGAAAUCAUUGUUCGAAGUAAAUAGUUUAUGUACUUUCUUCAGCUUAAAUAAGAUAGCUCUAUUAUGUUCAAUGAAAAUAUUAUAUUAGGCUAUGGUAAAUGAAUAAAAAAACAUAAUCCAAAGAAUCAUCAAAAGAAUAUGCAUACAAAAAAAAUUCCAGGAAGAAUUCAAUUCAAAUGCCGACGGCCAAACGAAGAAGAGUAUUUAAAAAGUCAAUAAGCAGGGAACAAUUCAACCAAUUGUAUAAAUUAUGUUGCAAAACCAAUCUAAAGAAUCACCCAAAAAGGGGACAAAAAGGUAAGGCUCAGUUAAAUUGAAUCGGCAACAUUGGUCAUAAGUACUCGGCAACAUUGCUCAUAAGUAUAGGGCAGUAGUAGGACCAAUAGAUUACCGUAGGAGGGAAAUGCCCACUGCCGCCAAGAAUAAGAAUGGCAGGAAGCAGCUCCUGAAUAAUAAAUUACUAUUGUGGAAAAAUGUGCGCAACCAGCAAGGGUAAGACAAUAUGUAGCGGGUGCCUAUGAGUAGGCCGUCCAAACUUCCACUUGUUUGAAGUAAACAUUUUCCACAUUUUGCGGUUGCCGAGCAAUAAAUGACCGUUAAAGGGAAGUGUGCGUAGCCACCAAGGCUAAGACAAUAUGAGGCGGUUGCCUAUGAGCAGGCCGUCAAAACUUCUACUUGUUCGAAGUAAACAUUUUCGACACUUUGCGGUUGCCGAAACAAUAAAUCACCGUUAAAGGGAAAUGUGCGCAACCACCAACGCUAAGACAAUAUGAGGCGGCUGCCUAUGAGUAGGCCAUCCAAACCCCAACUUGUUAGAAGCAAAUAUUUUCCGCAUUUCCCUCAACUUAUCAUCAUCGCCUCAAUAAAGAGAUAGAAAAAAGAAAGAAACAGCAAGGGAAAUAUCCUUCAACAAAACAGAAAAUAAAUUUUGAGCAGGAGAACAAAAUCUUCAAGAUGGUUCUAUUGUGUUCAAUGAAAAUACUAUAAUAGAUUAUGAUAAAUGAAUAGAAAAACAAAAUACAAAGAAUCGUCGAAAGAAUAUGCAAAUUGAAAUUUGAGUCAAUAGAAUCGCCAGCAGGGAUGCAAACAACAAAUUUGCUAAAAACAUCAAUUAUAUAACUUUCAAUCACACUUUUCAGUACGAAUAAAAUACAACUGAUGCUCCAUUUUCAUAUUGAUGGAAAUCAUCAGUAGUGCUAAUUGAGUGAGGACCCAUAUGCACACCAAAAGUAUUCCAAGUACAAAUAAGAACAACUGGUUGUCUACAGAGAUACGAAUAUACAUCGCGAAUUCUGAUAGCUUAGUUUCAAAAAAAUCAUCAUAAAGAGCACGAUGAUCAGAUUAGUUGUAGCAAAUAAGAUAUUCAAAGUAUUAAUUAACAUAAUUUGAAGUGACAGAUAGAAGUUCUAGUUUAAUUUGAUCUGCUAGCAACAAAAUCAAGAAUUAAAGAAGACUCCGCUUAAAAAGAUUCUUUUAUUUUUUUAACAAUUUUUUGAGGCAGGGAUAGUCCUCUUCUUAAAUAUAUAGGCGUAGUGAGAAUCUGCAUAAACUUAAAAGGCAAGAAAGAUGCAUUAGGUUAUAAUCGAAUCAAAAGGAGAACCUACGCAGCGGGAAUUUCAUGUAAAUUAGUACAUCCAUUUAUACAGUCAACUAUAGUUCAAAAGGAGAAAUAAAAGUUGCUAUGAGAAGUUCAAUAUUUGUUUCAACUGUUUUCAUUAAUAUCAAGUAAGCUGCAAAGUCGGCAAUUUAACCACAAAGUCUUCAUCAACAUCAGUCUUUAUCAACAUUAGCUAAACUGCAAAGUCAGGAAGAUGAGAUUAUCAUUUGUCAGCUAAUAGUAAAUGGAGUUACUAUAUGAAUUCUCAAAAUAUAUAUAUUAAGUCAUACGUAAGGUGGCGCUUCUUUGCCUCCGGAAUUUCACAUAAUUGAUCAGAUGCUUGUGCUGAGCUGUUAACGAAAACGUGAAAAACAUUUUAACAGCAAAAGAAACAGUUCAUUUUCUUCAGUCUUAAAUAAGUAAUAUAUAGAAAUAUAAGAACAAACCUAGAAGGAAUGGCUGAAGCGGGAGGUAAUUCUAGUAAUAAUUCUGUGCGAGGCUGCUUCUUGUUAGGAGGUGAGUAUGGUUGAUCUUCACAUUUUACAAAUGUUUUUCCUUUCACAUCAUUGUUUAACGUAAAAAUUUUUAGUACUUUAAAAGUAGAUGCAGUUGUCCUAAAUCUCUGCGCAUCAGGUACAAUUUGGAAAAUGUGUUUUUGAUUGAUAACUGUUUUUAUUAUAGUAGGAAUAGUGAAUUUAUCCGAAUCGACUGCUGAUGCCAAAAUUUGUGCAGGAAUACGAAGCAGAUCCUGCGCUAACCGGCCAAAUAUAGUAAAGUUAGCUAUGCCACUGCCGUCUUCAACAAUUGUACUCAAUCUAUACCUAAUUUUGUAAAGGAAAUAAGAAUUAGGCAUCUACAUUAGGACAAUACUCAGGCACCAAGUUAACAUAUUUAUUCUUUAAAAAAAGUAUUUACCAUGGAAUGGGGGAUUGUUCGCUGCUGUUACAACGGGAGCACCAAAAUGUAUCGUCACACGUCUUGACGGCUGUUUUGCAAUUAUGACAUGCUUUAUACCACCACCCAUAAGAUGUAUCAAUUUCAGCAAUUGUAGCUUCACAUGUGAACUUCGCAUUCUAUCCACAGAUAGAAUUUAGGGAAAAAAUCAUUCCAACAAAUAGCAUAGAAAGAUAAAAUUAUAGAAGGUUGUUAUAUUAUAAACUUAUAAACUUACUUCAGAAUCAGUAAGAUCAAGGCUUAGCAGUUCAGCAAUUGAUUUUCUAUUCGCGCACAUUUCUUCUUGAGGGGAAAUAAGUUUUUGUUCACCAUAAGUGAUUCGUUGUAUUGCAUUAGGUUCAUGUUGUCUGCAGCUAAUAAAAAUGUGCAUAGUAAUAAAAGACAUUAAGGAAUUAAGUAAUUAAGUAAGUAAUUAAGUAAGUAAGGAUAAAAGAAAAGUUUAUUUGCUGCCAAACCUAUUCAAAAAUUCCAAAACUUCUGGAAUUUCCAAGUUAAAAUAUAUCUUCGAUGCUGAGCAUGUUGAUAAAUGCACCUUCUCUACAUUGGAGUUUUUUAAAAAAGUCAAAAUAAUAGCAAACAAUGCAUGAUAAUAUUAAAAUUAAAAUUCAUAUGUUUACAUAUUAACCUUUAAAUGUGCGUACUGUCAUCGCGGCUAGAAUUAUGAUUAUAGAAUGUGUAGCUCCUUUCUUUGAAAUAUCUUCUUCAUCAAAAUUUGUUGCAAAUGUAUCCCAUAGCGUCACAGGCAUGAUGUUUUUACUGCAAAAUAAAGUAUAUUAUUUAGUGUAUAUAUAUAUAUAUAGAGAGAGAGAGAGAGAGAGAGAAAGAGAGUAAAUUUAGUUGAAAAGAAUAUAACAUGCAAAUACGAAUCAUUUACUCUAAAUCUUCUAUUUCCAAAUUUCUAAUAGGAGUCAAAGUUUGCCCAAUAUAUCUAUGGGUAAUUUCGCCGAUAACUGCAAUUUUCCCAAUAACAUCUACACAACAUAACACGAAUGAUUAGUAAGUAUAUAUAAACAUUUGAAUUCAAAGAAAAUUUUAUUUUCAGCGAACAUUACCUGUUAAAACCGCAUCGUUGUAACGUUUCUUUUCAAUUUCAAAGAAAGUAGAGAAAUUAAAACUGUACAGCGGGAUUGCUUCAGAAUCUUCUUGAACUUUAGUUACUUGUGUUGAUUUGUUUAUUUGGAUCAUAUAAUGACGGUCGACAGCAACAAAUUUUUUUCUAUUUGGAAUAAUACUGAAUUUCUCUAUUAGAUAGAUGCUGCCUUCUGUAAUUUGGCAUUUAAACGCUUCAACAUCUUGCUUGCGUAUUGUUGCUUGCAUGGAAAAGCCCUAAUCCAUGUCAAAAUUUAUGAAGGAAAAGAAACAUCAGCGAAAAAUAGAGAAGUCAAUGAAAGAAUUGCUAGGAGGGUUGGAAAUUUGAUCACCUUUUCAUCUAUCAAUAGACAAUCUAGGCUGAAAAUAUUUGCUUUCAAAUGCGGGGCAGUUGAUUCCCAUAUCCGGCAGAUUCGUACUUUGAUCUUGCAAUCUUGCUGGUGUAGUGAUAAUUCCGAUAAAAGUUUAAUCUCCAUUGUAACUGGAAGAUUCACCGUAUCAACGUGAGGGGAAAAUUAAUAUACGAAUAAAGAGAAAGAAGUAAAUAAAUUUCUCUAAUUAAAAACAGGAAAAUCAUAUGCUGCUAACCCGAUUAUUCUAUUUUAAAUCUUCAAAUAUUUCAUGGUAAACAAUAUUUCUUGUAUAUCCUUCAGGUUCUUUAUCUUUUGUUUCCAAAUAGAUUCUCAAACCUUUCCGCGAAGUUACUCUUGAAAUUGCUACGUAAAGUUGUCCGUGUGAGAACACAUGAUGCGAUAAAUAAAGACCAACUUUCUGCAAUGUUUGUCCUUGACUUUUAUUAAUUGUCAUUGCAUAACUGACACGAACUGGGAAUUGCCUUCUUUUAAGUACGAAUGGCCAUUUAGAUUCUGUUACGUUCAUUAUUAUGCGAGGGAUGAAAACCUUUUCUCCAAUGCGGUUGCCGGUGAAAAUUUGUGCUUCAAUAACUCUAGGAGCUAGCUGAGUUAUAAUCAAGCGAGUCCCAUUACACAAACCAGCACUUUGAUUAAUGUUACGAAGCAGCAUGAUUGGACUUCCCACUUUCAGCAUCAAUUCGUGAUUCGGGACUCCAUUAAAUUUUAAAGAAUUUAAGAAAUCAAUCGGAUAAAGUAGAUUAUUUUCUUCAGAAUUUUUUGAUGAACCACAAAUUGAAUCCGAACUUAAAUAUAAGCGCUCCUCUGUUUGUAACAAUGAGAGAACGAAAUUGUUGAUUUCAUCCACACUUUCAUUCCUAGGUGUAACGAUAGCUCUAUCUCGUAGAUAAUCAGGAUCAUUGUAGUUUUCUUCAAUACAAUCAUAUAUUUCUGAAACAAUUGUUUUGAUUCCAUCUUGGUCAGGUUUUAUCAACAUAUCAUCAGGAAUUUUGAUCCAAGUUGGUUCUUCUUCGUCUUCUAAUUUUAUAGCAUUUAUUUUUCCAUCACCAACAUCAAGAACCCAUUUGUUGAAUUCUACGAAAGAAAUGUCUGUUGUGCUGUCUGCUGAGCCUCGGAGCAAUCUCAUAUUUGUAGUCAGUCGGAAAACUUUACAUUUACUCCAUAUGUAUGACCUUGUGAGCGAUGCACUUAAAAUAUCCUGUCUGGUUCCACCAACAAUAACCGGUAGAAUUUGCCUAAAGUCUCCACCCAAAAUAACAGUUUUUCCUCCGAAAAAUUUUUCACCAAUGCUUGAGUUGUUUGUUUCCAUAAUAUCUUUUAAUGAUUUAUCCAAAGCCUCAAAACAAUUCCUAUGAUUCAUCGGAGCCUCAUCCCAAAUAAUCAAAGAAGCUUCUGCGAUUAAAUUUGCAAGUUGCGUGCCCUUCUUAAUUUCACAAACGGAACAAUCAUCAAUUUUUAUAGGAAUUUUAAAUCUUGAAUGCGCUGUGCGCCCCCCGGGCAACAAAAGUGAUGCUAUUCCUGAGGAAGCAACAGCUAAAACUAUUCUUCCUUCAGAACGUAAUUUUGCAAUUAUAGUUUUCCAAAGGUAUGUCUUACCUGUUCCACCAUGGCCAUAAACAAAUAUAAUAUCUCCAAUAUUUUGAUACACAGAGGCCAUAACAGCAUUAUAUAUGAUUGUUUGUUCGCUAUUUAAGCCAGCAAACAAUUCUAUAUAUUCUCGCAAUAGCUCAUCUCUGUUGUAAUCUAAUUCUUCUGCAAGUAAUCUAUUAUUUAAUGCAUCAGAAAUCAACCUAUUGGGAGUCGGCAGGUUAUACUGCGAUAGUGAGCUACUAUUCUUAUUGAAUAAAACCUCAAGCUCAAAUAGAAUGUGAUUUUGAAGGUCAAUUUGAGGCAUCUGAAGAUUUUCAAUGCCCAAAACACGUUUCAGUCUAUAUAAUAUAUCAUCAGCCAUUAAUUUCCAAUAUUCAUCCCAUAAUUUAAGAGGAUUCACAACUUCACAAUAUAUCACCAAUGUUGCAAAUAAUUGUCUAAGUUCAGCUGAGCCUGACCAGUGUGAAGCUUCUUCCAAUGCUUCUUUCCAUUCUCUAUCAUCACCAAGUAAACCAAGAGUGUCGCAUGCAGCGCGAAAUGUCUCAUGUACCACACCAUUCACAGUCCUAAUCUCUAGAUAACUUCUUGGUCCUUUGACUACAUUUAAAAGCAUUCGUAAAAAAUACAAUUCCCCUGCAUUUGGAUGAAUAUAAACUAUUCUACCAAUACGGGAUCCUUGUUUUCGCCUGGACCAAAAUUUAUCUGUUGCAUGCCAAACCCAUUUUGAUGGAAAUUCAGUAUAUGUUAAUUGUCGAGCAUCAUCGUAAGCAAGAUUGGUUUUCAUCCAUUCAGUAAACAUUGUUUUCUCAAUAUUAGGACGAUUCAGAACAUUAAUUAAAUUCUGAGCACCAUGAUAUAUAACAUUAUUCAUCAUGGGCAGGUGAACAGUUAACCGUUCAACAGAUGGCUGUCUAAAGUGUAUAUCGAAUUCAAACAACCUCCAAAUUGCUUCAUGCGCUGAUAAAUAUCUACAAUCCAAGUAUUGCUUAAUUUCAUCAACAUUCUUAUAUUGUCGUCGAGGAGUUGCACCGUCCUUAUGUACUGUCACGCCCCGCCCCGAAUCCACUACCAAUUUGGCACGGUUCGGGCACAUCAGACGGACCGCCGAACAGACAGUACCUCUCCUGUCCGCCCAAGGCCAAGCAACCAGAUCAUGUACAAUUAAGCACCCAGGAAUUUGCUUAAAUAACAUACAUGAUCAAAUACGAUGCACACAAGUGCAAUACAUCUAAGAGCAAGAACCACAAGUGAUAUACAAGUGUAUAAAGAGAGAUAGUCUAACUAUCACAAUCAUUCAACAUUUACAUUAUUUGAAUAUAUUAUAUUUUCAUCUUCCAAAAUGUAAGUACAUGUUUUCUUCAAAAUACAAGUAGCUCUCUGAUAUCUAUCCAAAAUAUCAACUAGUACACGAGGGUACUCUAAUGCAUAAGGAAAAGCUACUAACUAGGCUCACUUAGGGCGCUAUGCCCUUGCCGCGGUCCUCGCUCGGCUCGCCUCUAUGUGUACCUGUACCCCAAAACCACACGGGGUGAGAACUAUAUAAAUAUAGUUCCCAGUGGGUUCGGCCGCCGACGCCGCCGGUUUUCCCACUAGGUCUAAGCUGGCACAGAUAGAGAGAUAGAUAGAUAGAUAAAAGUAAACUGCGACUACUCUAUCAUGCCAUCAACGAUGAUAAUGCAUGCAACAACUACUAUCAUGCGAGAAUCAUGUCAUGAGUAUAGAAAAGUACAUAGUAAUGCAAUCUACAACAUACACUAUGUCUACUCGAGGUAAUGCAUGAACAUAGCAAUGAUAUUCUACUAAUCAUGAUACUAUGCUUCAACAAUAAUGGAAAUGAGCUACUACAUAGUGAUGUAUCUACAACAUGCUACUAUGUCUCAAUGUCAACUCAAGGUAUGAAUGCAAAUCUGCUAUGCCAUUCAUAUUCUUUACCCAAUCUGCUUGGAAAUGAGCUACUACAUAGUGAUGUAUCUGCACAUGCUACUAUGCCUCAAUAAUCCAAAUGAACGAGCUACACAGUGCGUCGUGCAACUAUGCCUCGGUAGUAUCCAAUCUCAUGGCCAACCCGAAGGUUGCCACCCCGGGGUCAACCCCGACUCACUCUCAAUCUCAUAGGUGAGGAGAAACUGCACUCGCACACCGAGACCGUCUGCGGGACAACUACGUCUGCCCCUAGUGAAGUACUCCGGAGACUCGUGCCUCGGUGGAGCGACCACCGACAAGCAAAAACAGACUAGUGAGUAUGAUCCAAUCCUCACAAGAGGAUACCCUAUCUACAAGGGUCAACGUGCCUCUGCUGCACAAUGUACAAUGCAUCCUAGAUGCCGGGAUCUCUACUAUCCCUAAGUACAUGUCGAGUUUACUACACUAGACUCAAUGCCACUCGUUUAGUCAUUGUAGUAAAUGUCUCAAUUAUUCUACAUGUUAUUUGUUCAUGUCAUAGUGUCUCUCCUACACUAGUUCAAUGCCACUCUACUAGGCUAUGUCCAAAUUCAUCACUUUUGCCACUAUAGGAUUCUUUGUCUCAAGACCCAAUCCUCAUGCCUCCCUAGUCCAAGUGUUAGGUCCAUACCGCUACACUACUAAGUAAGCAUGCAAGGAAUGGAAAUAUACUUUACUAAUCCUAUAAUGCUCAAUCAAUAUAUGAUGAAUAAAAUUAACUUAGGCAUAAAAGGAAACCCGGAUGUUUCGGGAUGACACCCCCCACCUUUUACCGCUAUCACGAGGCUAGGUUCUCAAUUGCACGUUCCCUAGUCGCCGCUUUACUCUUCGGUCGCACCUGCUCGACGAAUCGACGAACCGACGCUUCACACGCGUUUAGGCACCUCAAACACAAGCUUUUCCUCAAACCAAGUAAUGAAGAGGAUGAAGACUUCACCUCCAAGCAACCUUUUUCUUCUCCAAAUGCACCUCCAAUUCCUCUCUUUGGUGGAGAAAUUGUUAGAGAGAGAGAGAUAUUUCUCUUUGGUUGCAAGUGUGAGGGAGAAAGAAAGAAAAUGCUCAAGUCCCCUAUAUAUAUAUAUAGGAAACUUGGCCUCCAAGUUUCAUAGGAAACUUGGUCUCCAAGUGUCAUAGGAAACUUAGCCUCCAAGUUUCAUAGGAAACUUGGCCUCCAAGUUAUCUAGGAAACUUGGCCUCCAAGUUAUCCAAGAACACUAUUCACAUUCAGUUUAGCAGCACGGUACAGAUAUUUUUCGUCUGCCCUGUCUCUCACAGAAAAUUCUAAAUCUUCUGUUUUCGCUUCCAUUUCAACACGGGUCACUCUAGACUUAUAAUUUAUGUCUAUAAGUCCAAUAAAAAUAGUAUCCCACACUAUUUUUAUUUAUUUCCACUUUUACAUUUAAAAUCCGGUACCUUACAUCCUCCCCUCCUUAAAAGGAGUUUCGUCCUCGAAACUCAAAUCUCAUCUCAAUUCGAGUUUUCGAGCAUCUGAAGGUAACAAUGCACUUUUGCACUCCGGAGUGGCCUUUUUCUUAUCGGAACUAUCCAAAGGCCCACUACAGAGGAUAUGAGACCAAAUUCACUCACAUUUGCUAAGCACAACACCAAAAGUGCAUUACGGUUCCGCAAGUCUUGGUGGCAGCGUAAGUCGACACUCGACAACUCUACACGCUCCAACACUACUUGCGACCGAAUCUAGGGAAUAUACUUCGAUUCGAUCACUGGCAUUGCCUAGAAGCAAUAUCAUUGGUGCAUCGACCCAUCGCAAGUGCCACUAUCACAAUCGAAUUUGCUUUACUACGAGAUGGCACCCUUCGGCACAUCUCCAAUGUUAAUCCUCCAGAGAGCAUAUUCUCAGAUCUCGUGUGGCAAUCCAAUAUCCAAGUGUCUCCAAGAGACCACUUUACUUUCUCUUUCCAUUGCCGCGGCUGAUAUCAAUUCGUUCCUGCAAUGAAUUCACAUGAACACUUUGUUCGCGAAUCCGAGCCAAACUCCUCGACAGAGUCACCGGCCAAACCGCUCACCUUGGCUUUCCAUGGGUGGACCAAAGGUCACCAACCAUACGUAGAUCUGCCGCCCAAACCUAUCUCAACACGUAGCGUCUCUCGCUCGCAAGCGUGGACCCAAUCAACACUACUGGGCGAAAUUCUCACUUGGGAAUUCGCACACACUCCGACUAGGAGCAACUAUGACCCCAAACCACGUCAGGUCCUCGGGUUGGGUUACUGCACACUCGGUGUGUCAUCGAUCUCGUAAUCCACACGUGGCAUUCCACGCUCCCGGGUCUAUGCUCGGACUACCACCCUGACCAAAACUCUGCCCUACCCGUAGGUACCGGGCCGCUGCCACUCGCAGCCGACUGUGCCUACCCAAUGGGCCCAGGCUUCACAGUCCACAAAUGGUCCAGGCACGGGUCGUCCCCAAGCACUACCCGCCGUCGUCAUCCUACACGACAUGUUCUACCGAGUCAGACGUACCACUAUCGUCUCCUAAGCACCUAGUGCGAGCCAUCAGCCCCACGAGUGACCCAUGGCCUGCUUCACACUUAGCAAUGCUACAGUGCUACUGCCAUCUCACUCCUCCGGCUGAAUAAAAUCCGCACUCCACGAGUAUUUACACUCGAGCGCUCUACGCCUCUACAGCGUUCCACACGAAAUCUAGCAUUAGGCAAUCUUGCCUAUGCACACCGGCCGCACAAGCACAGCCGCCUACCUCACCUUAAGGUACUACUAGGCCCAUGUGCUCAAACUUGGCCACUAAUCGACCGUCCUCUCAACAAUGACUCUACCUUCAUCGUCCAAUCUACCGGAACAAUAUCCGAAAUUUUCGGAUUACUCGGGUGCCUACAAAUAUCAUGGCUCAACUCUCGCAAUCUACUGAGCAUGUUGCCUUGAGAGUCGCCUCACCAUUUCAGCUACACCACGAGUCUCAUUUCUCGUCCAUAGGCCACUACUAGCAAUUUGCUAGUGACGUCUAGCUUUCUACCUGCUCCAGCAGACGCUAUACUCUCUCACACAAGCAUGCCCGGGUACCCUCACCUACCCGUCCACUGGUCCCUACUAUACUAAUGCAUAAAUAGUAGCAACUGACCAUGAAAAUGCAUGCAAUGCACCAAUUUAACAUCAUGCAGAAACACACAUUUGCUGCAACUAAACCAUACUUGCCAUGGCAUCUUCGACAGCAGCAUGUUCCUCGACUUGAGCGGCAAACACCUGGUCACUCGGAGUCGACUGGGCCACCUCAGGCUGACGAGGUGCCAUCGCGUGUCCAGCUAAAGCAACAGUAGGUGGGGCUCCUCCAUAAUGGCCCGAAAUCGCCAAAGACGAUGCAACAGACGGGACAGGCGAGGUCCUCCUUGGACAGUGGCGGCUAAUGUGCCCCGCCUGACCACACGUGAAGCAUCUUCCCUCUUUUUGCUUGCAAUGGUUCGGGUCAUGUUUACCUCCGCAAAUGACGCACUUCCGAGUCCCACAACUCUGGGACCGUGCUCGCGGAUACUUCGGAGGCUUCUUAGACCAUGACUGACCUCUCGAGCCAUCAGAAGCUCGCUUCUUACCGCCGUCCCUCUUGGACGCCUCUCGCUCCUCGCGGACGUGGGCAUUACUAUGCUCCGCCCGCAACGCUCGAUCAAGCACUUCCGCAAAUGUAGUGAGCUUCAGAAUGUAAACCGCUCUAUAUAUAUCCGGUCGGAGCCCUCUCACGAACCAGUUGGCCCGAUCUCUAUCGUCUCGCACCACGUCGGGGACGCAGUCAAUAAUACGUGAGAACUCCUGCUCGUACUCUUCGACCGAGCGGUUUCUUUGCUCUAACUUUCGGAAUUUAUCCUGGAGCUUCCUUUUCUCACUAUCGGGGAAAAAGUUGACAUAUAACAAGCUCCGAAACCCUUUCCAUAUCAACGGCGGAAGGUCGGGAGACCGAUCUCGCUUGAUCCGCUUCCACCACACCUUCGCCGCCCGCUCCAAGCAAUGAGUGGCGAGGGGAACUUUAUCAUUCUCUAAUAUAUAGAGAUCUUCGAAAAGAGUCUCCAUCGAGUCCACCCACGACUCGACCAUCCAAGGCUCAACCUUCUCCCCGUUGAACAUCGGUGGACUAAACUUCCGAAAUUUCAUAAGAGCCGCAAGCGCGCGGUCCCUCUCCGCUUCCGUAGCUACCUCUUCGGGAUUUGAAGUCCCCGAACCGGUAGCCACCAUCGUCAGUGCGGAUUGCGCCGCAACCGGCACAGCUGCCGUGGCCACACCCUUUGUCACGACGGGCACGACCACCGAAGGCGCGGGCCGCUCAACAUUCGCUUGAGCCGACGCCAGCUGCGCUACCAACUGUUGUAGCCUCGCAAUCUGGUCCUCUUGGCGCUGCAUCGCGCCGACCAUCGAAGCGAUCUGCGCUCGCAAUUCCCGCACUUCUUCAGAUCCCGACUGCUCGGGCACCUCGGGAGGUGGUGCCAGAGUGGAUCUAGUCACGGGGCGUCUCUUUGGUGCCAUAGCACCUGAAACGCAACAACUUGGUUAAUCACCUUAACCCGUUAAUCUCGUCGCAACUACUAGACAACGUGACUCAACUCCGCCAUAAGCGGCAGUACACUAUUGUAUUAGUCCUAACUCUUAGCGUCGUGUUGUCGGCCGCCAACACAAACUCCUCGAGCUCGGAACUAACACCGCUCGGAUCUAUCUCUAGUCACACUAGAGAUCUAUACUCGAUCCGACCCAAUCGGAUUCUUCCUCAACCGAUAUAGGUUUACGUUUCUCUCACGUACUUAUCACCUUAGGGUUGCCAACCUAGGUCUCCUAGGUCCAUCCUAGACUCUCUCUUUACUUGCUCUUAAUCGCUCUGAUACCAUAACUGUCACGCCCCGCCCCGAAUCCACUACCAAUUUGGCACGGUUCGGGCACAUCAGACGGACCGCCGAACGGACAGUACCUCUCCUGUCCGCCCAAGGCCAAGCAACCAGAUCAUGUACAAUUAAGCACCCAGGAAUUUGCUUAAAUAACAUACAUGAUCAAAUACGAUGCACACAAGUGCAAUACAUCUAAGAGCAAGAACCACAAGUGAUAUACAAGUGUAUAAAGAGAGAUAGUCUAACUAUCACAAUCAUUCAACAUUUACAUUAUUUGAAUAUAUUAUAUUUUCAUCUUCCAAAAUGUAAGUACAUGUUUUCUUCAAAAUACAAGUAGCUCUCUGAUAUCUAUCCAAAAUAUCAACUAGUACACGAGGGUACUCUAAUGCAUAAGGAAAAGCUACUAACUAGGCUCACUUAGGGCGCUAUGCCCUUGCCGCGGUCCUCGCUCGGCUCGCCUCUAUGUGUACCUGUACCCCAAAACCACACGGGGUGAGAACUAUAUAAAUAUAGUUCCCAGUGGGUUCGGCCGCCGACGCCGCCGGUUUUCCCACUAGGUCUAAGCUGGCACAGAUAGAGAGAUAGAUAGAUAGAUAAAAGUAAACUGCGACUACUCUAUCAUGCCAUCAACGAUGAUAAUGCAUGCAACAACUACUAUCAUGCGAGAAUCAUGUCAUGAGUAUAGAAAAGUACAUAGUAAUGCAAUCUACAACAUACACUAUGUCUACUCGAGGUAAUGCAUGAACAUAGCAAUGAUAUUCUACUAAUCAUGAUACUAUGCUUCAACAAUAAUGGAAAUGAGCUACUACAUAGUGAUGUAUCUACAACAUGCUACUAUGUCUCAAUGUCAACUCAAGGUAUGAAUGCAAAUCUGCUAUGCCAUUCAUAUUCUUUACCCAAUCUGCUUGGAAAUGAGCUACUACAUAGUGAUGUAUCUGCACAUGCUACUAUGCCUCAAUAAUCCAAAUGAACGAGCUACACAGUGCGUCGUGCAACUAUGCCUCGGUAGUAUCCAAUCUCAUGGCCAACCCGAAGGUUGCCACCCCGGGGUCAACCCCGACUCACUCUCAAUCUCAUAGGUGAGGAGAAACUGCACUCGCACACCGAGACCGUCUGCGGGACAACUACGUCUGCCCCUAGUGAAGUACUCCGGAGACUCGUGCCUCGGUGGAGCGACCACCGACAAGCAAAAACAGACUAGUGAGUAUGAUCCAAUCCUCACAAGAGGAUACCCUAUCUACAAGGGUCAACGUGCCUCUGCUGCACAAUGUACAAUGCAUCCUAGAUGCCGGGAUCUCUACUAUCCCUAAGUACAUGUCGAGUUUACUACACUAGACUCAAUGCCACUCGUUUAGUCAUUGUAGUAAAUGUCUCAAUUAUUCUACAUGUUAUUUGUUCAUGUCAUAGUGUCUCUCCUACACUAGUUCAAUGCCACUCUACUAGGCUAUGUCCAAAUUCAUCACUUUUGCCACUAUAGGAUUCUUUGUCUCAAGACCCAAUCCUCAUGCCUCCCUAGUCCAAGUGUUAGGUCCAUACCGCUACACUACUAAGUAAGCAUGCAAGGAAUGGAAAUAUACUUUACUAAUCCUAUAAUGCUCAAUCAAUAUAUGAUGAAUAAAAUUAACUUAGGCAUAAAAGGAAACCCGGAUGUUUCGGGAUGACACCCCCCACCUUUUACCGCUAUCACGAGGCUAGGUUCUCAAUUGCACGUUCCCUAGUCGCCGCUUUACUCUUCGGUCGCACCUGCUCGACGAAUCGACGAACCGACGCUUCACACGCGUUUAGGCACCUCAAACACAAGCUUUUCCUCAAACCAAGUAAUGAAGAGGAUGAAGACUUCACCUCCAAGCAACCUUUUUCUUCUCCAAAUGCACCUCCAAUUCCUCUCUUUGGUGGAGAAAUUGUUAGAGAGAGAGAGAUAUUUCUCUUUGGUUGCAAGUGUGAGGGAGAAAGAAAGAAAAUGCUCAAGUCCCCUAUAUAUAUAUAUAGGAAACUUGGCCUCCAAGUUUCAUAGGAAACUUGGUCUCCAAGUGUCAUAGGAAACUUAGCCUCCAAGUUUCAUAGGAAACUUGGCCUCCAAGUUAUCUAGGAAACUUGGCCUCCAAGUUAUCCAAGAACACUAUUCACAUUCAGUUUAGCAGCACGGUACAGAUAUUUUUCGUCUGCCCUGUCUCUCACAGAAAAUUCUAAAUCUUCUGUUUUCGCUUCCAUUUCAACACGGGUCACUCUAGACUUAUAAUUUAUGUCUAUAAGUCCAAUAAAAAUAGUAUCCCACACUAUUUUUAUUUAUUUCCACUUUUACAUUUAAAAUCAGGUACCUUACAUGUACAUUAUUUUCUAUAACAACUGCAGAUCUAUCCGGACCUUUAUUGAUAUACUUGAAUAAAUAUUUAAUAAGCCUCGAUUUAUUACACCAUUCAACGUUAAUAUGA
rnacentral:lncRNA from 1 species